AUGGGACAAGGGAGACGAAUCCUUCCUGAUGCCACUAGGCUUCCUUUUACACCUCUCAGUGAAGGUGUCCAUAAUAGCUGGAAAAUAGUAAUGGACUCUUUUACAACUGGCUGCAGGGCCCUUCUGUUUGAAGUGGAUGGGUUCACACCAGACAGUAAUGCAGGAGGUCAGGAUACACAUGCAGGGAUGCUGGUAAUGAGGGAUUCUGUGAAGCAGAUGAGGAUUUGGGCAAGUGGUGGCUGGAAAGAGACAGCCGAGUGCACGAAGUGGAGAAAAAUGGGGAAAACAUCAGGCAUGGAGCUAGUUAGUUGAGACCCUUGGUGAUUUGUUGAGUCUAAAGGCCCCACAGCUGCAGGUGUGUCACUCUAAAGGAGGGUCAACCGGGUGUAACUCACACGGCUAGAGAGGCUUAUCUUAAUUCUGAAGGCAAGAAAAUCUAAGAUCCCAUUCACGCAUAGUCCCUCUAAUCAAUGUGGACAGGUAAUUCAGAUGAGAGCAGGAGAGAGCUUACUGCUUUCAGCUCAGUGCUGCUGCAUGGCAACUGCAAGACACACACACACAUCUAUACCCGCAGCAAUUUAAUCAAACGCACUUAGAGCAGGCAAUAACAACAGGUAUUAUGUAACAUAAUCAUCCACAUGAGCCAGGGCUGAGAUUACUAAUAACAUGAAGUGAUGAGCAGAACUGUGUUUAAAUACCCCUAUAUUCACUCCCUAAUUGUUCUAACCUGCCCGAGAUCUUCGCAGAGAAACCCCUGCGAAAACAUACCCACAGCUCUUUGGCAUGUAGUGCGGGAAACCGAGAAUGACUCAAAAGAACUGAAAGCAUUUGGGGAGGAUUCGUAAAUGAAUCCCUCCAAAAGAAAAGACAACAAGCGUAUUUGUUUCUGACUUUUGGCGCAUGCAGUGGAAUUCCAUUAGAUGAGUCAUAUGCAUACAGUAUCUCUCCAUUACGGUCAUCAAUUUCGGACUGAGCAGGUGGUUUACUGUAGUGUGUAACGCAGCAUGCAGGCCAGAGUCUGGGGUUUUUCACCUGCUGCUGGCUGCUCUCCAGCCUCUGCUGAGACUCUCUGCUCUAGUUCCCUGAUCGUCUGCUGCAGAAAACACACCACACCAGUCCUGAUGGGGCUAGUUCUCACAUUGUUUACUCCAGCAUCUAUGUUAUAUCAUAGCGAUGUAUUUAUUUUUUAAUAUAAAUUUUAAUUCUAUAUCUGCACAUACUUUUUAGUCUUAGCUAAAAACACAAGAAAAAAAAAAGGUACUUUUGAACGCUUUCAUUGGUAUUGUCCCGGAAAAGAGGCAGGCAUAGUUCA
ensembl:lncRNA